rnacentral:rRNA from 1 species
UCCUGACUGACCGAUAGUGAACCAGUACCGUGAGGGAAAGGCGAAAAGAACCCCGGCGAGGGGAGUGAAAAAGAACCUGAAACCGUGUACGUACAAGCAGUGGGAGCACGCUUAGGCGUGUGACUGCGUACCUUUUGUAUAAUGGGUCAGCGACUUAUAUUCUGUAGCAAGGUUAACCGAAUAGGGGAGCCGAAGGGAAACCGAGUCUUAACUGGGCGUUAAGUUGCAGGGUAUAGACCCGAAACCCGGUGAUCUAGCCAUGGGCAGGUUGAAGGUUGGGUAACACUAACUGGAGGACCGAACCGACUAAUGUUGAAAAAUUAGCGGAUGACUUGUGGCUGGGGGUGAAAGGCCAAUCAAACCGGGAGAUAGCUGGUUCUCCCCGAAAGCUAUUUAGGUAGCGCCUCGUGAAUUCAUCUCCGGGGGUAGAGCACUGUUUCGGCAAGGGGGUCAUCCCGACUUACCAACCCGAUGCAAACUGCGAAUACCGGAGAAUGUUAUCACGGGAGACACACGGCGGGUGCUAACGUCCGUCGUGAAGAGGGAAACAACCCAGACCGCCAGCUAAGGUCCCAAAGUCAUGGUUAAGUGGGAAACGAUGUGGGAAGGCCCAGACAGCCAGGAUGUUGGCUUAGAAGCAGCCAUCAUUUAAAGAAAGCGUAAUAGCUCACUGGUCGAGUCGGCCUGCGCGGAAGAUGUAACGGGGCUAAACCAUGCACCGAAGCUGCGGCAGCGACGCUGAUGCGUUGUUGGGUAGGGGAGCGUUCUGUAAGCCUGUGA